GAUGAACGCUAGCGGCAGGCUUAAUACAUGCAAGUCGUGGGGCAGCAUGAAGUAGCAAUACUUUGAUGGCGACCGGCAAACGGGUGCGGAACACGUACACAACCUUCCUUUUAGUGGAGAAUAGCCCAGAGAAAUUUGGAUUAAUACCCCGUAACAUAGCGAUGUGGCAUCACAUUGCUAUUAUAGCUUCGGCGCUAGAUGAUGGGUGUGCGUAUGAUUAGAUAGUUGGCGAGGUAACGGCUCACCAAGUCUACGAUCAUUAGCUGAUGUGAGAGCAUGAUCAGCCACACGGGCACUGAGACACGGGCCCGACUCCUACGGGAGGCAGCAGUAAGGAAUAUUGGUCAAUGGACGAAAGUCUGAACCAGCCAUGCCGCGUGAAGGAUUAAGGUCCUCUGGAUUGUAAACUUCUUUUAUAUGGGACGAAAAAAGGUCUUUCUAGAUCACUUGACGGUACCAUAUGAAUAAGCACCGGCUAACUCCGUGCCAGCCGCCGCGGUAAUAC
rnacentral:rRNA from 1 species